UACAGAGGUCUCAAGCGUUGUUCGGAAUCACUGGGCGUAAAGGGUGUGUAGGCGGCGUGAAAAGUCAGAUGUGAAAUCCGGGGGCUCAACCCCCGAACUGCAUCCGAUACUGUCAUGCUGGAGGUCUGUAGAGGGGUCUGGAAUUCUCGGUGUAGCAGUGAAAUGCGUAGAUAUCGAGAGGAACACCAGUUGCGAAAGCGAGACCCUGGGCAGAAACUGACGCUGAAACACGAAGGCCAGGGUAGCGAACGGG
rnacentral:rRNA from 1 species